rnacentral:snRNA from 1 species
GUGCUCUCCUUGGCAGCACAUGUACUAUAAGUGGAACAAUACAGAGAAGAUUAGCAUGGUCCCUGCACAAGGAUGACAUGCAAAUUCAUGAAGCAUUCCAUAUGUUU